GACGAACGCUGGCGGCGUGCUUAACACAUGCAAGUCGAACGGAAAGGCCCUGCUAUUGUGGGGUGCUCGAGUGGCGAACGGGUGAGUAACACGUGAGUAACCUGCCCUUGACUUUGGGAUAACUUCACGAAACUGGGGCUAAUACCGGAUAGGAGCCCCUGCUGCAUGGUGGGGGUUGGAAAGUCUCGGCUGUUGGGGAUGGACUCGCGGCUUAUUAGCUUGUUGGUGGGGUAGUGGCUUACCAAGGCGUUGACGGGUAGCCGGCCUGUGAGGGUGACCGGCCACAAUGGGACUAAGAUACGGCGCAGAAGCCUACGGGGGGCAGCAGUGGUGAAUAUUGCACAAUGAGCGGAAGCCGGAUGAAGCAGCGCUGCGUGGGGGAUGACGGCCUUCGGGGUGUAAACCGCUUUCGCCUGUGACGAAGCGGGAGUGACGGUAAUGGGUAAAGAAGCACCGGCUAACUACGUG
rnacentral:rRNA from 1 species